AUAUCCGCAGCAGGUCUCCAAGGUGAAC
rnacentral:piRNA from 6 species